CACGUAGGGGACGAGCGUUGUCCGGAUUCAUUGGGCGUAAAGCGCGUGUAGGCGGUCCGGUAAGUCCGCUGUGAAAGUCGGGGGCUCAACCCUCGGAUGCCGGUGGAUACUGUCGGGCUUGAGUACGGAAGAGGCGAGUGGAAUUCCUGGUGUAGCGGUGAAAUGCGCAGAUAUCAGGAGGAACACCAAUUGCGAAGGCAGCUCGCUGGGACGUUACUGACGCUGAGACGCGAAAGCGUGGGGAGCAAACAGG
rnacentral:rRNA from 1 species